AGAUGUACGUCCCGCCCGCAGAAAGGAGGCGGCCCCCCCGCCGACAUCGGCCCAGGCAGAUCUCAAUCCGAUGGCGCAUCUGUGGAACGUGCUGGACAAACAAGUCUGAUCCAUGGAGGCUCCACCUCACAGCUUACAGGACAUAAAGGAUCGGCUGCUAACGUCUGGGUGUCUCGGAUGCUUCUGCAUUUAUGUGUUAGGAGCAAUUUAUUUGUAUAUUUUCUUUCUGUGCAUAUUUGCUUGCACACCUGUACAUAGCAGAUUGUAUUUUGUGUGUGCAUGCAUGCGUGCAUCUGUGUUCCGAUAGUGCAGCACUAUCUAUUGUGUGUGUAUGCAUGCGUGCAUCUGUGUUCCGAUAGUGCAGCACUAUCUAUUGUGUGUGUAUGCACGUGUGUGUGUAUGGGUGUGUGCAAGAAAGCAGUAAUAUGUAUUGUGCCUUUGUGCAUCCAUUGCAAGUCGCAAGUCGCAGUAUACAGUUUGUACAUGCACAUUUUUUUACUCCUGUAUAUGCAUUUAUAAGUAUUAAUAUAUUUUUUGUGUGGACACUUGUCUACACGGGUGUAGGCAUUUCUUAGUAGUAUUCCCUGUGUGUGUAUGUUUGUACUUGUGUAAGCUCGUUUAUUAGUGUGUAUUUUGUGGGUGGAAAGCAUCCAUACAAGUCGCAGUAUGUGCAGUCAUGGCCUUAAACGUCAGUGUCCCUGCUCUCCCUUCAGAAAAUGCACCACUGCGCCCAGAAAACUGUUGCAAUUACAAGUCCUUCAGUAUCGACGUGUCCAUGUUCUUUCAUUUUUUGUUUGCAAUGGAACGACACAGUAAAGCGGAGAAAAAAGUCAUAGGUACUUCCAGAAGUAUACUGGCUUCCUCGGGUAAGUCGUGUCAAACUCCAGUUUGGCUUUGUUACCUCUGUCCGUCAGCAGUGGCAUCAUGCGCGGCUGCGUCAGUAUGCAAUGUGCGUGCAUGGCUCAGAAAGCAUGUUUGCAUGCCAGUAAUAGUGUGUAUUUUCUGUGUGCUUGUAUACAUGUGUAAGUAGCAGUUGUGCGUGUUCAUGAAUUUGUGUACGAGUGUAUUUGCAGGUAAAACAUAGCAGUACUUUCUAAGGCGUUUUUUAAUGAAUACGUAGCAUCUUUUUUCCCCUCAGUACAAGGAAAAAAACCCUCAAAAAUAUAUUAAUUUUAUUUCCAGCUGCCAUUGUGUCAAAAACGGGGCCCAUUCUCAUUCUGUCUCUCAGGUGGAACAUUAACACUCACUUUCUGCUUGAGGUAAAACAUCCAGACUUGCAUGCGAAAUUAAGAUGGUCUCAAAAUGCACUUUAUUGAGAAAAGUCUAAAGGAGCUUAAAAUGCAUGUCGCUUAAUGUGGCAAAGCAGUGAUUCUCUAAUGGUGGUUAAAGGUGACUGCUGAAUUCUCAGUGUAACAAAACUCUAUGUCUGGAUAAUUUUUAUUAUAUAAGCAUUAAAAUCCCCAUGAAGGAAUAAGGCACAUUUAUGAAGAUUCAAACUACAAAAAAGUUACAGGAAUACAUGAUUAUAAUGAUGAUAAUGGAAAGAUGCGAACUGACAAAACAUUCAUUUGAAUAAACCAGUUUUACAAGGAGUGCAAACAGUGUAGUAGAGAAUACAGCACAACUUCAAAAAUAAGAGGCAACAUUGCUUAUUUGUGAUAUUUCAGAUUCAAUUAGAGAAAA